rnacentral:rRNA from 1 species
UACGUAGGGAGCAAGCGUUGUUCGGAUUUACUGGGCGUAAAGGGCGCGUAGGCGGCCACCGCAAGUCAGUUGUGAAAUCUCUGGGCUUAACCCAGAAAGGUCAACUGAUACUGCGGGGCUAGAGUGCAGAAGGGGCAACUGGAAUUCUCGGUGUAGCGGUGAAAUGCGUAGAUAUCGAGAGGAACACCUGCGGCGAAGGCGGGUUGCUGGGCUGACACUGACGCUGAUGCGCGAAAGCUAGGGGAGCGAACGGG